UUAUGCACUACAUACCCAUCCUGUGGGCGGUAGUCAAAAGAUUACAAAGGUACAUAAUGGGUCCAGUGACUGGACCCCAAAGUUAUGAUAGCUGAACUAGUUACAAAGGUAAAGAACUCCAGGUAGAUCUGGUCACAAUCAUGGCAAGUUACAGAGGUAAAGAACUCCAGGUAGAUCUGGUCACAAUCAUGGCAAGUUACAGAGGUAAUGAACUCCAGGUAGAUCUGGUCACUAAUCAUGGCAAGUUACAGAGGUAAUGAAUCAGCUUCACUCCUAUACAUGGUUACAGUCAUGAACAAAUUACAAAGUAAUGAACCACUGAUACGUCCACACCUGGUCACAAUUGUAAUGAGUUAUAAAUACAAAUAUUAAGUGGAUCAUACACCCACACUAGCACGCGCGCGCACAUACACACACGAGGGCGCAUGCACUUACAAUGACAUUGAAGUAGUGCAAUCUACCUGUUCAACACUGGCAAACUGUCCUACCUGAUGCUCUUCACUCUAUUA